rnacentral:rRNA from 1 species
CACGUAGGGGGCAAGCGUUGUCCGGAUUUAUUGGGCGUAAAGAGCGUGUAGGCGGUUUGGUAGGUCCGCUGUGAAAACUCGAGGCUCAACUUCGAGCUGUCGGUGGAAACUGUCUGGCUAGAGUCCGGAAGAGGAGAAUGGAAUUCCUGGUGUAGCGGUGAAAUGCGCAGAUAUCAGGAAGAACACCCGUGGCGAAGGCGGUUCUCUGGGACGGUACUGACGCUGAGACGCGAAAGCGUGGGGAGCGAACAGG